CAGCCGCCGCGGUAAUACGUAGGUGGCAAGCGUUGUCCGGAAUUAUUGGGCGUAAAGGGCUCGCAGGCGGUUUCUUAAGUCUGAUGUGAAAGCCCCCGGCUCAACCGGGGAGGGUCAUUGGAAACUGGGAAACUUGAGUGCAGAAGAGGAGAGUGGAAUUCCACGUGUAGCGGUGAAAUGCGUAGAGGUGUGGAGGAACACCAGUGGCGAAGGCGACUCUCUGGUCUGUAACUGACGCUGAGGAGCGAAAGCGUGGGGAGCGAACAGGAUUAGAUACCCCUGUAGUCCCUGUCUCUUAUAA
rnacentral:rRNA from 1 species